rnacentral:miRNA from 1 species
AUUGUCUAAUGUUUAUGCGUCA